GAAUAUUGGACAAUGGGGGCAACCCUGAUCCAGCCAUGCCGCGUGUGUGAAGAAGGCCUUCGGGUUGUAAAGCACUUUAGGUCGGGAGGAAGGUUCGCUGGCUAAUAUCCAGCGGAAUUGACGUUACCGACAGAAUAAGCACCGGCUAACUCCGUGCCGGCAGCCGCGGUAAGACGGAGGGUGCAAGCGUUAAUCGGAAUUACUGGGCGUAAAGCGCGCGUAGGCGGCUUGGUAAGGCGGAUGUGAAAGCCCUGGGCUCAACCUGGGAACUGCAGUCGAUACUGUCAAGCUAGAGUGUGGGAGAGGGUGGUGGAAUUCCCGGUGUAGCGGUGAAAUGCGUAGAUAUCGGGAGGAACAUCAGUGGCGAAGGCGACCGCCUGGCCCAACACUGACGCUGAGGUGCGAAAGCGUGGGUAGCAAACAGG
rnacentral:rRNA from 1 species